rnacentral:rRNA from 1 species
UACGUAGGGGGCAAGCGUUGUCCGGAUUUAUUGGGCGUAAAGCGCUCGCAGGUGGUUCGAUGCGUCGUGCGUGAAAGCCCCCGGCUCAACUGGGGAGGGUCACGCGAUACUGUUCGACUCGAAGGCAGGAGAGGGUAGUGGAAUUCCCGGUGUAGUGGUGAAAUGCGUAGAUAUCGGGAGGAACACCAGUGGCGAAGGCGACUACCUGGCCUGUUCUUGACGCUGAGGCGCGAAAGCUAGGGUAGCAAACGGG